GACGUUAGCUGCAGAAGAAGCACCGGCUAACUCCGUGCCAGCAGCCGCGGUAAUACGGAGGGUGCGAGCGUUAAUCGGAAUUACUGGGCGUAAAGCGCAUGCAGGUGGUUUGUUAAGUCAGAUGUGAAAAGCCCCGGGGCUCAACCUCGGAAUUGCAUUUGAAACUGGCAAACUAGAGUACUGUAGAGGGGGUAGAAUUUCAGGUGUAGCGGUGAAAUGCGUAGAGAUCUGAAGGAAUACCGGUGGCGAAGGCGGCCCCCUGGACAGAUACUGACACUCAGAUUCGCGAAAGCGUGGGGAGCAAACAGGAUUAGAUACCCUGGUAG
rnacentral:rRNA from 1 species